AGGGCGGCCGAGAAUCCGGGCUCCCUAUUCUCAAGCAACUGCAGAAGAAAUCAUGAAAAAAGUGUUGUGCCAAAAUUUAUUGCACAUUGUAAUCAAAAAAGUGUUGGGUGAGUUUUUGAUGAAUUUGUCACACAAAAAGUAUCUAUAACCUAACGCUGCUGCUUGCUUCAUUUCUAACGCUUUGCAACAUACACAUUGAACCGCUUGACCUCUGUUUGCUGGCUCAAUGGUUUCUAUUCUGAAUGUGCUACAAACGAAAGCAGUGGAGACUCUAGCUUCAACAUGUGGCUGUUGCCUCUUCUCUGCCUUCUACCUUGUCUGAAAGAAAUUGCACAGAUAUGUGUAUGUAUUCCACAUGAUUGUAAGAGAAGAGGUAAAAUUGAUCUCUAAGAUGUGGCUAUGGUUUUGCCCCAAAAUCUGUAGAUAUAAUACAGAUUCCAGAUUGUGGGAAUUGGUUGGACCUCCAGAUUGGGCAAGCGGUAUGUUCUCCUCUGUCUCAUCUGCAGCAAACCAAAAAAUCUGGGCGUAGAAGGGCUCACCACAUGGGUUCUAAUUCUAAAUCAGUUGUUAAUUUCAUAGAAGGUUCGUCAGGGGUUCAUUUUUCCUGUAUUUCACUUGGGUGGAUUGGAGCUAAGAAUUUAGAGGUGGAGCAAUUAGCAGCUGGACAUGUGCAUAAGUAACCUUUUGUCAGUGAUCAAGCUGCUGACAGUAGGUGGAAAAAGAUUGAAACUUACGAUUUGGGACACAGCUGGACAUGAGAGGUUUGGAACAUUGAUAAGCUCUUACUAUAGAGGUGCAUAUGGAAUUAUUCUCGGUAAGCUAUUUACCAAUGCAGAAUAUUUGCAUUCCAGUGUCAUUUAUGUGGUAGUUAUACUUUUGAUAGUAUAUUUUUGACAGUAUUUCACAUGGAUGGAAUAGUUCUCUGAUUUUUUUUUUUUGGGUAACACAUGAAUUCUUUUGAAAAUUUCUGCUCGAUCACAUGCUUCAUCUUACCAUUUCAAUCAAUUUAAAUAGUUUUAAUUGUUGAUGCUGUGUUGUCAUAUUUCCUCUACCUAAUGUUUAAGCAACCGCUUUUGUAUUUACUUUUUGUUUUAGUUUAUGAUGUAACAGCGAUGCGACCCCACGCAUGAAGUGCGUGGGGGCCAACAAGUUAUAAAGAAGUGUUGUGCAAGUUAAAUUAAAAAAAAAAGGGUUCGUUUGAAAAAUAUGAUAAAAAUGAAGUUGGAGAUAAUGAUAGGAUUGGAAAUUAAAAAAAAUGAAGAAAUAAGAAAUUAAAGAUAAAUGAAGAUACUGGAGAAGAUUAAGCAAAAUAAAAAAUAAAAUAAGAAAAGAUCAGGAGUCUGAUAAUAAAAAGACGGACAAUUUAUACAAGUGGUCCCUACAUUUUGUUCCUUGUAUCAUUUUAGUCACUCCACUAUCAAUUGGCUCAAUUUUGACCAUUAAUUUUAAAUUUU